CCCGGGCGGAGCGGCCGUCGGU
rnacentral:snRNA from 1 species